UUACCUCAGUAACGGCGAGUGAAGCGGUAAUAGCUCAAAUUUGAAAUCUGGCCCUUUCAGGGUCCGAGUUGUAAUUUGCAGAGGGCGCUUUGGAGUCGGCAGCAGCCUAAGUUCCUUGGAACAGGUCAUCAUAGAGGGUGAGAAUCCCGUAUGUGGCUGCUUGCCUUCGCCGUGUAAAGCCCCUUCGAUGAGUCGAGUUGUUUGGGAAUGCAGCUCUAAAUGGGAGGUAAAUUUCUUCUAAAGCUAAAUAUUGGCCAGAGACCGAUAGCGCACAAGUAGAGUGAUCGAAAGAUGAAAAGCACUUUGGAAAGAGAGUCAAAAAGCACGUGAAAUUGUUGAAAGGGAAGCGCUUGCAGCCAGACGUGCCCGCAGUUGCUCAUCUGGGGUUCUCCCCAGUGCACUCUUCUGUGGGCAGGCCAGCAUCAGUUCGGGCGGUUGGAGAAAGACCUGUGUCACGUAGCUCUCUUCGGGGAGUGUUAUAGGGCAGGUGGAAUGCAACCAGCCUGAACUGAGGUCCGCGCAUCUGCUAGGAUGCUGGCGUAAUGGCUGUAAGCGGCCCGUCUUGAAACACGGACCAAGGAGUCUAACAUCUAUGCGAGUGUUUGGGUGUCAAGCCCGAACGCGUAAUGAAAGUGAACGGAGGUGGGAACCCCUCGGGGUGCACCAUCGACCGAUCCUGAUGUCUUCGGAUGGAUUUGAGUAAGAGCAUAGCUGUUGGGACCCGAAAGAUGGUGAACUAUGCCUGAAUAGGGUGAAGCCAGAGGAAACUCUGGUGGAGGCUCGCAGCGGUUCUGACGUGCAAAUCGAUCGUCAAAUUUGGGCAUAGGGGCGAAAGACUAAUCGAACUAUCUAGUAGCUGGUUCCUGCCGAAGUUUCCCUCAGGAUAGCAGUAACGUUUUCAGUUUUAUGAGGUAAAGCGAAUGAUUAGAGGCCUGGGGGUUGAAACAACCUUCACCUAUUCUCAAACUUUAAAUAUGUAAGAAGUCCUUGUUUCUUAAUUGAACGUGGACA
rnacentral:rRNA from 1 species